GAGGAAGGAACAAUUUUUCUCUUGUGUCUCAACUUCCUUUUGCCUCUUCCAUCUUCAUACAAAACAGAGAAGGAAAAGAAGAGGUCGUAAGGGUUUCUGAUUUUUGAAGAAGAGGAGAUGAAAUUCAUUGGGCUGGGUCAUGGAUGAUCUUUAUGCACCCCAUGUUUGCUGCCUCUACCACCCUUUUUUGUUUUUAUUAUUAUUUCUAUCUUUACUUACUCCUCCC
rnacentral:lncRNA from 1 species